GGGCAUGUGGUGUAGUUGGUUAUCACGCUCGCUUAGCAUCUACGAGGUGUUUGCGAGAGGGGUCCGGUUCAAUCCCGGACAUGUCCA